rnacentral:lncRNA from 1 species
GAACACCAAAACAAACCUGGAGAGCAUCCUCUCUUACCCCAAGGACUUCACCUGUGUCCACCAGGCCCUGAAGGGCUUCACGACCAAAGGUGUCACCUCAGUCUCUCAGAUCUUCCACAGCCCAGUGGACUGAAGGCUUUUGCAGAGCAAAAGCCAGGAAGUUUUGUCACAAACUUCCACCAAGGCCAGGAAGCAGAGUCUAUUCCGUGCCAAAAUUAAGGGAAGAAAAGAGGGAAAAUCUAGGCAAAUGGAAUUUAAUAUCUCAAAAAGAUUAUCUUGCCGAGCCAUAGUCACAUAGCAAGCUGAGGCAGCGGAGGCUUGGGGCUACUUCUCUUGUUCUUGGUUCUGGGUUUACCUUCUUUGGGCCUUAUUUGCCACAUCUGUAAGAGGAGUGGGCUGGACCGCGCUCCACCAUGCCGUAUUCACUAAGUGAGCAGAUAGAACCAUAGAAAGCAUGCUCACUCUCAAAUCGUGCUCAUGGAAAGAACGACGUGUUCAGGACUCAUGCCUCCCUUUCUCAACAUACCCCCAGACCUGGCCAUAAGGGACACCUUUGUGAAUGCCUCUCGGACCCUGUAC